UAGAAAGAUACCGCCUUUAAAAAGAGACUCCUUCAUCUUCUGGUGCUUGCUGCCCACCUUCCAUGGUGGAGCAAUUCUGGAAGCCAGGAAUCAUACUUGGGAUGGAAAACUGCUCCGAAGAAGGGCUUCUGCGUCAAGUAAAGAAGACUGCUGGUUCCAGCAGCAAUCUUGCCUGUGAGAAGAGAGAGAAAUGGGCUCCAAAUGUUCAUGUAAGAAGCAUGCCCGGUGAAGGCAUCCAAUUGGUAACAGCACAAAUGAAUAACAUUGAAAAUCACAGACUGCCUUCCAGCAGAACCUCCGGAGCUUGGAAGAUCAUCAAGGCCAUUGGGGAUGGAAUGACCUGAGCAGAAGCCACAAAAGAAGAGCUUUCUGGUAAUGUUCCAGGAACAGAAACAAGAGUUUCAGAA
ensembl:lncRNA